rnacentral:rRNA from 1 species
UCGAGAAUUUUUCACAAUGGGGGCAACCCUGAUGGAGCGACGCCGCGUGGAGGAUGAAGGCCUUCGGGUCGUAAACUCCUGUCACUACAGAACAAGAGUACGAGAGCUAACAUCUUUCGUGCUUGAUAGUAUGUGGAGAGGAAGGGACGGCUAACUCUGUGCCAGCAGCCGCGGUGAUACAGAGGUCCCAAGCGUUGUUCGGAUUUACUGGGCGUAAAGGGUGCGUAGGAGGUCAAGAAAGUCGGAUGUGAAAGCUCACCGCUCAACGGUGAAACUGCAUUCGAAACUCCUUGGCUAGAGGAUCAGAAAGGAAAGCGGAAUUCUUGGUGUAGCGGUGAAAUGCGUAGAUAUCAAGAGGAACGCCAAUGGCGAAAGCAGCUUUCUGGAGGAUUCCUGACUCUGAGGCACGAAGGCUAGGGUAGCAAACA